rnacentral:tRNA from 1 species
GGGGCUGGGGCUCAGUGGCAGAGCGCUUGCCUAGCAUGCAUGAGGCACUGGGUUCGAUUCUCAGCACCA